GUGAUGCUGGUUGUUGACAGAAGAUAGAGAGCACUAAGGAUGACAUGCAAGUACAUAUGUAUGUAUCAUCACACCGCCUGUGGAUGAUUACAAAAAUAGCCUGCAUGUCUACUCUUUCGUGCUCUCUAUACUUCUGUCACCACCAUUAU
rnacentral:pre_miRNA from 1 species